GUCCUAUUCUCCAGUGGCAGCAACAUGCACAAGGUUUUGUCCAAAGAUAUUUUAAUCAUUAUCACUCGUCACUCCAAAAUGGUCAGACACAGUUCAGAGCUGUAUUCUUCCUGUGAUUUUUGUUGGUCAACAGAGGGCCAGAGACAGAUCUGUACAUCACUUCAGUCCAACAAACCCUGUUGUGAGAGGCUUCCCUGGCAUUUAAGUGAGAUCCAUCACUGUAACAUGCACCUCCCAAGUGUUAUCACUGAAUUGUUUGCCAGCGUAUGUCUGAAUCAAAGAGAAGGGGCAGAAAGUGUCCUGGCUGAUGUGCAACCUUUUAAUGAUUUUCUUCUGCAAUCACUCACAGAAUGCCAUUUGAGGAGCUGUGAAAGAAUGACUUUUAAAACCCAAGCUAUUCUAUGAUUCUGUGAUUGUAAAACAAGACCUCAGACCUUCAUGAUCAUUUUCUUUACAUCAAAAGCUCAUUCUGAAUCUCAAGUGUAUUAAUUGCUCAAUCUUAAUUCUUCAGUCCAAAAAAAAAAAAAAAAAAAAAAAAAAAGAAUUAAUCCAAAACAAAAAGAACCCAAAUCUUUGAAAAAUAACCUAACUAGUCAGUGAUCCCAACUAGUUGGAUUAGUGAUCAGGCUUGAUCACAGGUACUCAAAAUAUUCUCUUCUGUGACUGCUGUGACUAAUGUAUCAGGGCAGAAAUGAGUACUGCCUUGAAUUACUUUCCCACCAAAUUAAAGGCAUUGAGUUGCCAGUAUAUCUCAGGCUUUUCAUUAAAUGCCGCUGAAAUCUGCAUCUUAAAAU
ensembl:lncRNA